CGGGGGGGAUGCUACAUGUCGGGGGGGAUGCUACAUGUCGGGGGAUGCUACAUGUCGGGGGAUGCUACAUGCAAGGACAUAUUGUUCUGUCUCACGAUGAAACGGCACGGGGGAUGUUCCGUGUGCUGCGUGGCUAUAUCGCCGAAAAACAGAUUCCAUACGGGGUCGAAUGGCUUUUCCACAGAUGGGGCUCCAUCUAUGGCGGGAUGGCGAGCAGGCCUCUACACUCUAGUCUCCCUCUGCCAUAUGGACACAUUGUAUGAUACACCCACUGAGCAAAAAUGGAUACACCGAGAGCAACUGGCGGGCAAAGAGCUGAGAGCAGAACUCAGAGAUAUACUGCAGCAGGUAACUUUGAUUGUAAACUACAUCGCUCACUCCUGUUCACAAAACUCUGUGGAGAUAUGGGAUCAGAGCAUGACAAUGUUCUAUUUCACACCGAGGCUUGGUGGUUAUCGAGGGGAAGUGGUGGAAAGAUGUUUCUAAUUGAGAGGAGAACUGUCAUUCGCAGUGGAUGUGGUGGUGAGAUAAGAGACAUUAUGUCAGACUCUUUUACAGUUGACUGUCAUAGCCCCACAUUCAAAAAGUAAACAUUGGCUGUUAAUUACAGAAUUUUUGUUCACAUGGUUGGGGUCGUGAGAAUUGUCAGAUAUCAAAAUGGGGUCGUGGGCCAAAAUACUUUGGGAAUCCCUGAACCCUCGCGCCUCCUCCACCUUCUCUAUUUUCAUCUCUCCUUCUCCUCUCGUUUCUCAGCUGCCGUCCAGCCGGUUCAGGUUCGCGUCCUGGCAGCGGCUUGAGGAGAGUGAUGUCAGAGGAGACCAGCUCUCCUGUCCCAGGGUCAGAGAAGGGCCGUCAGAGGAUAACCUCUUUCUGAGAGAGGAUGACAUCCCCUUAGAAAGGGGAGGGAGGAGGAGGAGAAGGAGGCAGGAGGAGGAAGGACAGAGGUGGGAGGAGAGGCUUCAAGAGAACUGGGAGAACUGUGUGGUGAGAGACAUACUGUACUGUGUGUGUGUGUGUGUGUGUGUGUGUGUGUGUGUGUGUGUGUGUGUGUGUGUGUGUGUGUGUGUGUGUGUGUGUGUGUGUGCGCGCACCUGCUUGUGUGUGUUGCUUGUGUGUGUUGUGUGUCUGUUCGCGUUGACACACACCUCAGUAACCCUCUCCCUGUGGUCCCUGUGGUCCCUGGUAUUCCUGGUA
rnacentral:lncRNA from 1 species